ensembl:lncRNA
GUUGAAAAGUUCACUGCACAGAAAUGACUCUGCUCUGACCCCAGCACAGGUUGAAAAGUUCACUGCACAGAAAUGACUCUGCUCUGACCCCAGCACAGGUUGAAAAGUUCACGCAUAGAAAUGAAAAAAAAAGAAAAACACAAAAGUUAUUCAAGCACCGACGUUCAUUAUUUACCCACAAUUUGAUAUGUCAUAAAUUCAAUUACGGUGCUUCCUACUCAGUGGAAACUGACAGAAGCACAUGCGUGCACAUGGAACUGCUGGAAGCGUGCUUCUGUUUGAACUGUGGUC